rnacentral:rRNA from 1 species
GACGAACGCUGGCGGCGUGCCUAAUACAUGCAAGUAGAACGCAGUUGCGAACGGGUGAGUAACGCGUAGGUAACUGCCUCAUAGCGGGGGAUAACUAUUGGAAACGAUAGCUAAUACCGUAUCCUGUGAGAUGGACCUGCGUUGUAUUAGCUAGUUGGUGAGGUAAAGGCUCACCAAGGCGACGAUACAUAGCCGACCUGAGAGGGUGAGCGGCCACACUGGGACUGAGGGACGGCACAGACUCCUACGGGAGGCAGCAGGAGGGAAACUUCGGCAAUGUACGGAAGUCUGACCAAGCCACGCCGGGUGAGUGAAGAAGGUUUUCAGGUCGUAAAGCUCUGUUGUUAGAGAAGCGGUAUCUAACCAAAAAGGGACGGCUAACUACGUGCCAGCCGCCGCGGUAAUUC